GGUUGCGAUCAUACCAGCACUAAUGCACCGGAUCCCAUCAGAACUCCGUAGUUAAGCGUGCUUGGGCGAGAGUAGUACUAGGAUGGGUGACCCCCUGGGAAGUCCUCGUUUUGCAACCC
rnacentral:rRNA from 1 species